AGCGAACGCUGGCGGCAAGCCUAACACAUGCAAGUCGAACGAACCCUUCGGGGUUAGUGGCGGACGGGUGAGUAACACGUGGGAACGUGCCUUUAGGUUCGGAAUAACUCAGGGAAACUUGUGCUAAUACCGAAUGUGCCCUUCGGGGGAAAGAUUUAUCGCCUUUAGAGCGGCCCGCGUCUGAUUAGCUAGUUGGUGAGGUAAUGGCUCACCAAGGCUACGAUCAGUAGCUGGUCUGAGAGGAUGACCAGCCACAUUGGGACUGAGAUACGGCCCAAACUCCUACGGGAGGCAGCAGUGGGGAAUCUUGCGCAAUGGGCGAAAGCCUGACGCAGCCAUGCCGCGUGGAUGAUGAAGGUCUUAGGAUUGUAAAAUCCUUUCACCGGUGAAGAUAAUGACUGUAGCCGGAGAAGAAGCCCCGGCUAACUUCGUGCCAGCCGCCGCAGUAACAC
rnacentral:rRNA from 1 species